rnacentral:ncRNA from 1 species
GGAAGUCCAAUAAAUAGAUCCAUAACUUUGAGAAAAGGAUUUGCUCUAAGUACUGGGCAUAGGGGUCCUAUUCCUGAAACAGUUGACUAUUGGCGAACUUUUUAAGCUGCUUCAAUGAUGAGAUUGGGUUGCCAUGUCGCUUCGGGGGGAUGGACUUGGAACAACUGCUUUUAGGGACUUCCCCGUGCAUUGAACAACUAACUCAUAAUUGGUACUGACAAGGGGAAUCUAACUGUUUAAUUAAAACAAGGAAGAACUGGCACUGUUGCUGGGCCAAUCUGAUUAAUGGUCCAUGAAAUUUUUUACC